CUUGUACAGUAGACACAAAAUAUGCUAAGUUAAUUAUUAUUUCUGUAAAUCAUUUGAAGAAUCGAGUUUUAUCAGAAACAAUACGUUGGAUUGCUGAGCAGCAUGGGUGAAAGAUUUCUACAACAGUACAUCUACAGUAGAUGUAACUAGUAACUAGGAGGAUGGUGGUUGAACUAAUUGCUACAACAUUUUUCCAUGCAGAAAAAAAUAUUGGGACCGAGCAAGGCUAAACCAAACAAAUGCAAAUGCAAAUGUUGGUGUACGAGGCUGCUGGGCUGGCCAAUGCUGACAGUUUUAUCCGACAGUUCCCUGAUGGCUACAGUACCAUUCUGGGGGAGAGAGGAGUUACCGUGUCUGGGGGCCAGAAACAGAGGAUAGCUAUCGCCCGCGCUCUACUGAAAAUCCCAUCCAUCCUCAUAC